rnacentral:lncRNA from 1 species
UAUAGGCAAAGUCUUUAAAAGAUUCUGACCAACGUGGUUAUGCAGUAUGGGUAUCAGAGAUAAUGCUUCAACAGACACAAGUUGCUACAGUUAUUAACUACUAUAACAACUGGAUGAAG